AUUGAACGCUGGCGGCAUGCUUUACACAUGCAAGUCGGACGGCAGCGGGGUAGUGCUUGCACUACUGCCGGCGAGUGGCGAACGGGUGAGUAAUAUAUUGGAACGUACCGAGUAAUGGGGGAUAACCAAUCGAAAGAUUGGCUAAUACCGCAUACGCUCUGAGGAGGAAAGCAGGGGACCUUCGGGCCUUGCGUUAUUCGAGCGGCCAAUAUCUGAUUAGCUAGUUGGUGGGGUAAGGGCCUACCAAGGCGACGAUCAGUAGCGGGUCUGAGAGGAUGAUCCGCCACACUGGACUGAGACACGGCCCAGACUCCUACGGGAGGCAGCAGUGGGGAAUUUUGGACAAUGGGCGCAAGCCUGAUCCAGCCAUGCCGCGUGUCUGAAGAAGGCCUUCGGGUUGUAAAGGACUUUUGUUAGGGAAGAAAAAGGAGCGGUUAAUACCCGUUUCUGCUGACGGUACCUAAAGAAUAAGCACCGGCUAACUACGUG
rnacentral:rRNA from 1 species